UCCUACGGGGGGCAGCAGUAGGGAAUUUUCGUCAAUGGGCGCAAGCCUGAACGAGCAAUGCCGCGUGAACGAGGAAGGUCUUCGGAUCGUAAAGUUCUUUUGAAGGGGAAAAAGAGCGGAGAGAGGAAAUGGUCUCCGAUUGAUAUUACCCUUCGAGGAAGUCACGGCUAACUACGUACCAGCAGCCGCGGUAAUACGUAGGUGGCGAGCGUUAUCCGGAAUGAUUGGGCGUAAAGGGUGCGUAGGCGGCCUGCUAAGUCUGGAGUGAAAGGUACCGGCCCAACCGGUACAGGCUCUGGAAACUG
rnacentral:rRNA from 1 species